rnacentral:rRNA from 1 species
UACAGAGGUCUCAAGCGUUGUUCGGAUUCAUUGGGCGUAAAGGGCGCGUAGGCGGCGGGGUCAGUCGGGUGUGAAAUCUUGGGGCUUAACCCCGAAACGGCACUCGAAACUGCCCGGCUGGAGGGCCGGAGAGGAGAUCGGAAUUCACGGUGUAGCAGUGAAAUGCGUAGAGAUCGUGAGGAAGACCCGUGGCGAGGGCGGAUCUCUGGACUGCUAACUGACGCUGAGGCGCGAAGGCCAGGGGAGCAAGCGGG